UACGAAGGGGGCUAGCGUUGCUCGGAAUCACUGGGCGUAAAGCGCACGUAGGCGGACUCUUAAGUCGGUGGUGAAAUCCUGGAGCUCAACUCCAGAACUGCCUUUGAUACUGGCAAUCUAGAGUCCGGAAGAGGUGAGUGGAACUCCUAGUGUAGAGGUGGAAUUCGUAGAUAUUAGGAAGAACACCAGUGGCGAAGGCGGCUCACUGGUCCGGUACUGACGCUGAGGUGCGAAAGCGUGGGGAGCAAACAGG
rnacentral:rRNA from 1 species